rnacentral:rRNA from 1 species
AGAGCGAAUGGUGGAUGCCUUGGCUCUCAGAGGCGAUGAAGGACGUGACAAGCUGCGAUAAGCUUCGGGUAGGUGCAAAUAACCUUUGAUCCGGAGAUUUCCGAAUGGGGCAACCCAUCCCGAUUUAGUCGGGAUAUCCCGAAAGGGAAGCAAACGUGGGGAACUGAAACAUCUAAGUACCCAUAGGAGAAGAAAACAAUAGUGAUUCCCCAAGUAGUGGCGAGCGAACGGGGAUUAGCCCAAACCACGGGUGUUACGGCACACGUGGGGUUGUAGGACCUGCACAGAUAGCAAACGAUUUUAGUGGAAAUACCUGGAAAGGUAUGCCAUAGACGGUGACAGCCCGGUACACGAAAGGGUUGUUUGCUUAAGCGGGUAUCCUGAGUAGCGCGGGACCGGAGAAAUCCUGUGUGAAUCCGCCGGCACCAUCCGGCAAGGCUAAAUACUCCUGAGAGACCGAUAGUGAACCAGUACCGUGAGGGAAAGGUGAAAAGCACCCCGCACAGGGGAGUGAAACAGACCCUGAAACCAUUCGCUUACAAGCGGUCGGAGUCUUCUGAAAAGGGGAUGACGGCGUGCCUUUUGCAUAAUGAGCCUACGAGUUACACUUCAGUGGCAAGGUUAAUCCUCUCAAGGGGAGCAACCGCAGCGAAAGCGAGUCUUAACAGGGCGCAGAGUCACUGGAGGUAGACGCGAAACUUAGUGAUCUACCCAUGGCCAGGUUGAAGUUGUGGUAACACACAAUGGAGGACCGAACCAGUAAACGUUGAAAAGUUUUUGGAUGAGCUGUGGGUAGGGGUGAAAGGCUAAUCAAACUGAGAGAUAGCUCGUACUCCCCGAAAUGCCUUUAGGGGCAGCCUUGUGUAUAGUGUCAUGGAGGUAGAGCUACUGAUAGGACUAGGGGGCUUCACCGCCUACCAAAUUCUGACAAACUCCGAAUGCCAUGACAAUCAAGACAGGAGUGAGGGCAUGGGUGCUAAGGUCCAUGUCCGAGAGGGAAAGAACCCGGACCAUCAGCUAAGGUCCCCAAAUAUACACUAAGUUGACCAAACGUUGUGCGACUGCAUAGACAGCUAGGAUGUUGGCUUGGAAGCAGCCAUUCAUUUAAAGAGUGCGUAACAGCUCACUAGUCGAGCGGUUGUGCGUGGAUGAUAAUCGGGCAUAAGUGUAUUACCGAAGCUAUGGCAUUGAAUUUAUUCAAUGGGUAGGGGAGCAUUCCAAAGAAGUAGAAUCAGUAUCGUGAGGUAUUGUGGAUUUUUUGGAAAAGCAAAUGUAGGCAUAAGUAACGAUAAUGAGGGUGAGAAACCCUCACACCGAUAGACUAAGGUUUCCACGGCCAUGCUAAUCAGCCGUGGGUUAGUCGGGGCCUAAGGCAAACCCGAGAGGGGUAGUCGAUGGAUAAUCGGUUAAUAUUCCGAUACCUUUUAUAACUGCGAUGGGGUGACGAAGUAGUGACAAGCACGCGUACUGACGGAAUAGUACGUUGAAGGGUGUAGUUUAUGAUUUAGUUAAUAGCUAGAUUUUGCGAACCUGAAAGUACCAUGAUCCUUCGGGUGAUUGGAUAGUUGCUGUAAUCAGACUUCCGAGAAAAGCCUCUAAGCAUCAGGUUAUAAGAGCCCGUACCGCAAACCGACACAGGUAGUCAAGGAGAGAAUCCUGAGGUGCUCGAGUGAGUCGUGGCUAAGGAACUAGGCAAAAUAACCCCGUAACUUCGGGAGAAGGGGUUCCGUCGUAAGGCGGACGCAGAGAAAUGGCCCAGGCGACUGUUUAUCAAAAACACAUGGCUUUGCAAAAUUGAAAGAUGAAGUAUAAGGCCUGACACCUGCCCGGUGCCGGAAGGUUAAGAGGGGGGGUUAUCCUUUAUUGGAGAAGCUCUGAAUUGAAGCCCCGGUAAACGGCGGCCGUAACUAUAACGGUCCUAAGGUAGCGAAAUUCCUUGUCGGGUAAGUUCCGACCUGCACGAAUGGUGUAACGAUCUGGGCACUGUCUCAGCCAUGAGCUCGGUGAAAUUGUAGUUCCGGUGAAGAUGCCGGAUACCCGCAACGGGACGGAAAGACCCCGUGAACCUUUACUGCAACUUCACAUUGAUUCUGGAUAAGUAAUGUGUAGGAUAGGACGGAGACUAUGAAUCGGUUUCGCUAGGAAUCGAGGAGUCACCCUUGAAAUACGUCCCUUUGCUUAUCUGGAACCUAAUCCCGUUUAUAAUGGGAGACAGUGUGUGGUGGGUAGUUUGACUGGGGUGGUCGCCUCCAAAAGUGUAACGGAGGCUUUCAAAGGUACCCUCAGCACGCUUGGUAACCGUGCGUAGAGUAUAAUGGCAUAAGGGUGCUUGACUGUGAGACCGACGGGUCGAUCAGGUAGGAAACUAGGGCAUAGUGAUCCGGUGGUUCCGUAUGGAAGGGCCAUCGCUCAAAGGAUAAAAGGUACUCCGGGGAUAACAGGCUGAUCG